UACGGAGGGUGCAAGCGUUAUCCGGAUUUACUGGGUUUAAAGGGUGCGUAGGUGGGCAGUUAAGUCAGUGGUGAAAUCUCCGAGCUUAACUCGGAAACUGCCAUUGAUACUACCUGUCUUGAAUUAUCUGGAGGUAAGCGGAAUAUGUCAUGUAGCGGUGAAAUGCUUAGAUAUGACAUAGAACACCAAUUGCGAAGGCAGCUUACUACGGAUUUAUUGACACUGAGGCACGAAAGCGUGGGGAUCAAACAGG
rnacentral:rRNA from 1 species